rnacentral:tRNA from 1 species
GCCCUUGUAGUUUAAGUAAAAUUUUAAUUUUGUAAAUUAAAGAUGUUUUCCAAGGACA